GGCAGGCCCAAGUGCAAUGGUGUUUACAACUAACUGAUCAUAACCAGUUAGAUUUCUUUGUUCCUUCUCUGCUUCCACUGCUAUACUUGACUAGUCUUUA
rnacentral:Y_RNA from 1 species